AGCGAACGCUGGCGGCAGGCCUAACACAUGCAAGUCGAACGAAGUCUUCGGACUUAGUGGCGGACGGGUGAGGAACACGUGGGAACGUGCCUUUAGGUUCGGAAUAACUCAGGGAAACUUGUGCUAAUACCGAAUGUGCCCUUCGGGGGAAAGAUUUAUCGCCUUUAGAGCGGCCCGCGUCUGAUUAGCUCGUUGGUGAGGUAAAGGCUCACCAAAGCGACGAUCAGUAGCUGGUCUGAGAGGAUGGUUAGCGACAUUGGGACUGAGACACGGCCCAAACUACUACGGGAGGAAGGAGUGGGGAAUCUUGCGCGAUAGGCGAGAGCCUGACGCAGUCAUGCCGCGUGAAUGAUGGAGGUCGUAGGAUUGGAAGAAUCUUUCACCGGGGACGAUAAUGACGGUACCCGGAGAAGAAGCCCCGGCUAACUUCGUGCCAGCCGCCGCAGUAACAC
rnacentral:rRNA from 1 species